rnacentral:tRNA from 1 species
GCCCUGAUAGCUCAGUUGGUAGAGCAAGCGGCUGUUAACCGCUGGGUCCUAGGUUCGAGUCCUAGUUGGGGCG